GAUGAACGCUGGCGGCGUGCCUAAUACAUGCAAGUCGAGCGAACAGACGAGGAGCUUGCUCCUUUGACGUUAGCGGCGGACGGGUGAGUAACACGUAGGUAACCUACCUAUAAGACUGGGAUAACUUCGGGAAACCGGAGCUAAUACCGGAUAAUAUUUCGAACCGCAUGGUUCGAUAGUGAAAGAUGGCUUUGCUAUCACUUAUAGAUGGACCUGCGCCGUAUUAGCUAGUUGGUAAGGUAACGGCUUACCAAGGCAACGAUACGUAGCCGACCUGAGAGGGUGAUCGGCCGCACUGGAGCUGAGACACGGUCCAGACUCCUACGGGAGGCAGCAGUAGGGAAUCUUCCGCAGUGGGCGAAAGCCUGACGGAGCAACGCCGCGUGAGUGAUGAAGGUCUUCGGAUCGUAAAACUCUGUUAUUAGGGAAGAACAAACGUGUAAGUAACUGUGCACGUCUUGACGGUACCUAAUCAGAAAGCCACGGCUAACUACGUG
rnacentral:rRNA from 1 species